rfam:Anaeromyces robustus strain S4 BCR32scaffold_133, whole genome shotgun sequence.
GGAGGGUUGGCGCAACGGUAGCGCGUCCGUCUCCAGAGCGGAAGGUUGGGCGUUCGAAUCGCUCACUCUCCA